rnacentral:misc_RNA from 1 species
GUUUUGACCGCUUUCCAGGUUUCCCUCUCUGUAUGUUUAUGCAUUUGUUUUUGACAAUUUUAGGUUUUUGUUUCAUUAAGCUAGUGAGUUAAGCUUUAUUUCCAUUCUAAUUUAUAGAAUAACCAAUCCAAGUAUUAGGGUUUUACUUCUUUGAUAAAUUAUUCUCAGAAUAAUCUACCUUUUCCGAAAGAUUAUUUGCUUUAUGUUGCAUUUAUUUGUUGUAUUUUCUUUUUAAUGA